AUCAUACUUAUAUGACCGCCAUCAGUUCGUAGCAGUGAAUGAAGAUGUAUCAUAUCGAUCACAAGUGCAGUAUGGAGUACCUCAAGGCUCAGUACUAGGGCCGCUACUCUUCACGCUUUAUAUGUUACCCUUGGGAGAUAUCAUCAGGAAACAUGGUGUUAGCUUUCACUGUUAUGCUGAUGAUACUCAGCUCUAUAUUUCCUCGCAGCCCGGUGAAACACACCGAUUUGAAAAACUAAUGGAAUGCAUAGGUCGAUAUAAAAAACUGGAUGACGAGUAAUUUCUUACUGCUAAAUUGUGAAGAAACAGAGGUGUUAAUUAUAGGACCUAAAAACUCUGUUUGUAAUAACCUAGAACACUGUCUAAGACUUGAUGGCUGCUCUGCCAAUUCUUUGUCAUCAGUUAGGAACCUAGGUGUGCUACUUGUUCGCAAUCAUUCCUUAGAAAGCCACGUUUCUAGCAUUUGAAAAACUGCAUUUUUCCAUCUCAAAAAUCUAAUUUACAAUCUAAUUUUAAAUCUAAAUUACGGCCUAUGCUCUCAAUUUCAAAUGCAGAAAUGUUAAUCCCUGCAUUUAUGACCUCAAGGUUGGAUUAUUGUAAUGCUUUAUUGGGUGGUUGUUCUGCACGCUUAGUAAACAAACUACAGCUAGUCCAAAAUGCAGCAGCAAGAGUUCUUACUAGAACCAGGAAGUAUGACCAUAUUAGCCCGGUCCUGUCAACACUGCACUGGCUCCCUAUCAAACAUUGUAUAGAUUUUAAAAUAUUGCUUAUUACUUAUAAAGCCCUGAAUAGUUUAGCACCUCAGUAUUUGAAUGAGCUCCUGUUACAUUAUAAUCCUCUAUGUCCGCUACGUUCUCAAAACUCAGGCAAUUUGAUAAUACCUAGAAUAUCAAAAUCAACUGCGGGCGGCAGAUCCUUUUCCUAUUUGGCGCCUAAACUCUGGAAUAACCUACCUAACAUUGUUCGGGAGGCAGACACACACAAUCUAGAUUAAAGACCCAUCUCUUUAACCUGGCUUACACAUAACAUACUAAUAUGCUUUUAAUAUCCAAAUCCGUAAAAGGAUUUUUAGGCUGCAUUAAUUAGGUAAACCGGAACCGGGAACACUUCCCAUAACACCCGAUGUACUUGCUACAUCAUUAGAAGAAUGGCAUCUACGCUAAUAUUAGUCUGUUUCUCUCUUAUUCCGAGGUCACCGUAGCCACCAGAUCCAGUCUGUAUCCAGAUCAGAGGGUCACUGCAGUCACCCGGAUCCAGUACGUAUCCAGACCAGAUGGUGGAACAGCACCUAGAAAGGACCUCUGCAUCCCUGAAAGACAGCGGAGACCAGGACAACUAGAGCCCCAGAUACAGAUCCCCUGUAAAGACCUUGUCUCAGAGGAGCACCAGGACAAGACCACAGGAAACAGAUGAUUCUUCUGCACAAUCUGACUUUGCUGCAGCCUGGAAUUGAACUACUGGUUUCGUCUGGUCAGAGGAGAA